GAUGAACGCUGGCGGCGUGCCUAACACAUGCAAGUCGAACGAACAGACGCUGAGUUUGCUCCUCUGUCGUUAGCGGCAGACGGGUGAGUAACACGUGGAUACCCUCCCUAUAUUUCUGGGAUAACUUCGGAAAACCGGAGCAAAUAGCGGAUAAUAUACUGAACCGCAUGGUUCAAUAGAGAAAGACGGCUUUGCUGUCUGUUCUAGCUGGAUCCGCGCUGGAUUAGCUAGUUGGUAGGGUAACGGCUUACGAAGGCAACGAUGCGUAGCCGACGUGAGGGGGUGAUCGGCCACACGGGAGCUGAGACGCGGUCCAGGCUCCUACGGGAGGGAGCAGUAGGGAAUGGUAGGCAAUGGGCGGAAGCCUGACGCAGCAGCGCCGCGUGGGUGAUGAAGGUCUUCGGAGCGUAAAGCUCUGUUAUUGGGGAAGAACAAAUGUGUAAGGAACUAUGGAGGGCUUGACGGUACCGAAUCAGGAAGCACCGGCUAACUACGUG
rnacentral:rRNA from 1 species